rnacentral:lncRNA from 1 species
AACCCUUCAGGAAUAAGUUCCAACUCUCAGACUCUGAUAAGAAUGCCAACUCAAAUGUAUAUCUUGAUUCCACAGCUUGUGCAACCUUUCGAUCACGAGUGGUUAACACAAUCCUUGUUUCAGGUGCGCCACAUUUUAGCUGCACCAUGAACUGUUCCCAGUCAUGUCUGUCCUCAUGCCAAGCAUCAUCAAGGAUAAGAAGAAACUUCUUAUUGCUCAACUUCUCGGAGAUUUUUUGGACCAUGUGCUGUGGGGGAUGACGAUCUGAAUUAUCUCCAACAAUCGUUUCAAAUAGCUUGCCGAUGAGCUUCUGAACAUCAAACUCUUGAGACACAUGGACCCAGAAUAUUUCACCUCCAAAGUGCUCCUUUAUCUUGACGUCAUGGCAAAUGUGUUUGGCCAAAGUAGUUUUGCCUGACCCCCCUAAUCCGAUGAUAGAAACUAUCAUGUUGUUCUCUCCAGCAUUACAUUCUACAAGCUUAGAUAUGAUUUCAUCCUUUUCUUGAUCCCUAAGGGGUAUUUUGGACUCUGGAACCUUGCUCAACCAGGUCAUCUCUCCAACUGUCUUGUACCUAGCACCAACAUGUUGAUCCCUUGUUGGAACUAAAGUAUUGAAAUCACUUCUUUGCUUGACGAUUGCAGCAAAUCUAACCUUGAUUGCCUUGAUCUUAUGAGCCAUCUUGUAUCGGAAUGCAAAUGACUUUGGUUUUGCACAGAAGCAACCGGCUAUACCACUCUUGUCAUCAUCUCUUUCCAUCUUCUGUUUCUCAGCUUCUAGCUGGACUUCUUGUAGUAUAUCGUCAAUGUCAUAAGCCACAUCUUUCAAUUUUAUCACCCAGUGAGACUGUGUCUCACUCUGUAUUGCUCUGUCAUACGCUGCCGACAGCCAGCCUGUAAUGUCUGCGUGUAUAUCCUGGAGCUGGCAGAGAUCUCUUUUUACACCGGCUAUGGCAGCAAACUCAGUGGCUAACAGUGAAACUAGCUUGUCACCUGCAGCCUUCAACACUCCAGAUGCUAAAGCAGCCUCCAUCCCACUCAUUAUGUCAAAGAAACUGUUGCCUAAACCCCUGCAGAUGAAAUUGAAAAACAAGCGGUUAGAUUGAGUUUCGCAAAUCCAAAACUAGUUAGGUGGCAGCAGUAAUGUUUCUUAGGAAAAAUAACUUUUUAGGAAAUGUGGCGGCAGAAAUGUUCCAAUAAUAAUUCUCAACUCUGGAAUAAAUUAACGGCCGACAAAAUAUCUGAGAGUUACAGGCCACGCCGCCGCCCGGUCCAGACGCGGCGGCCAUGUCCUCUCUCUAGCGCCAGGCCAGCUGCAGCACCCUGCUGCCAUGCAGCCUGCCCUAGGGGGCUGUUGUUCCUCCCAUCUAAUCCCCUCUGACUCCCCCAAUCUACCCUCUAAUUAAGUGAAGUCACCCCAGAUGGGACAUGUACAACAUGAGUGAUUUGCAGAUUAUAUGUUUCGAACGAAAUGGACAAAUAUUGUCCGUAUCGGCUAAAUAUCUUAUAUGGAUAACACAAAAAGUCAUUUGGAUGCUGGAAAAUAGAUCUACUAGACCGAUCGGCGUGAAAACAAAUGGAAAAUUAAUUUGCAUACCAGGUGAACGAGGACACACACAGCAGAAGCAGCAGAGCACCGACAGUAUGACACUUUGAUGCAACCAGAUAAGGGGCUUUUUGUUCUUCUUCUUGUGAAAGAGGUGAAGGGAAUCAGUAUGCUUGACGCUCACUGGGAUUGACACAAAAAAAAAAGAAUGAGUUGGUCAUCGAAGAAAUUCUAGGAUUAACAGAAAAAAAACGUGAGUUGGUGAUUGAAGAAAAUGACCAGGGGAGAAAGCGGGAGGAGAUGUGAGGAAUUAGAUUGUGCGUGUUGUGUUAGGCUUAAACCAAAGCAGAUUAAGUACCUAAACUCAACAACUGCGGCGAGGCUACAACCCAACGAGAAAGAGGAAAUGGAAUUUCGGUGCUUCAGCUUCACUCGAGGAUGCAAAGAAACCUGCAGAUCUGAAAGGCAGGUGGGUGAUGAAGAAAAUGAGCAGGUGGUUGAACCCAACGAGAAGGAGAAACGGGAUUCAGGCAAAGGUCAUCCUCAUUACCUCGGUCGCGUCGGCGGCGGCGACGACGACGAGAGGCCUCCCGCCCCUAGUCGGGUUGUGCGCGGAGGUCGAUGGUCAGUGAACUCACUGCUCACUUCUCACGCGCAUCGAGACUCCACGGAGACGAACUCGAUUGCGACUGAGCACCGGACGAUGCUAGUCGACUGAGUUGGGUGGUGGAUCCCGGCGGCCACUGUGACAGCAUGAUUGCUUUUCGCCGAAAGCGCGUGGCAAGAGCAUCCACUUCAGUGGAUCCAGAAAAUCCAUCCUCUUUCCCUACAAAGUGUUGGCUAGUUUAGUUCCAAUUUUUUUUGGUAAAUUAUAUUUAGGCCUUGUUUAGUUCCAAAAAAUUUUGCAAAAUUUUUCAGAUUCUCCGUCACAUCGAAUCUUUAGACAUAUGCAUGAAGCGUUAAAUAUAGACGAAAAUAAAAACUAAUUACACAGUUUUAUCAGAAUUGACGAGACGAAUCUUUUGAGCCUAGUUAGUCCAUGAUUGGACAAUAUUUGUCAAAUACAAACGAAAUUGGUACUAUUCACAUUUUGCAAAAUAUUUUGCAAGUAAACAAGGCCUUAACAAAUAUUGUUAGGCUCAAAAGAUUUAUCUCGUAAAUUAUAUUUAAACAGUGUAAUUAGUUAUUUUUUAUCUAUAUUUAGUGCUUCAUGUAUAUACCGCAAGAUUUGAUGUGACAGGAAAAUCUAAAAAAUUUUGUUGGGAGUAGUUCACCCAAAAAACCAAAAACUUUUUCAAGAUUCCCCGUUACAUUGAAUCUUGUGGAACAUGAAAUAUAGAUAAAAAAAAUUAAUUGUAUAGUUUAGGCCUUAUUUAGAUCAAAAAGUUUUUGGAUUUUGACACCGUAGCACUUUUAUUUUUAUUUGAAAACAUUAUCCAAUAAUAGAGUAACUAGACUUAAAAGAUUCGUCUCGCGAUUUACAGACAAAAUGUGCAAUUAGUUUUUGUUUUCAUCUAUAUUUAAUGCUUAAAGCAUGUGCCGCGAGAUUCGAUAUGACGGAGAAUCUUGAAAAGUUUUUGGUUGUCUGGGUGAACUAAACAAGGUCUUAGCUGUAAUUUGUGAGACGAAUCUUUUGAGCCUAAUUAAUCCAUGGUUGGAUAAUAAAAUAAAAGCAUUACAGUACCUAUAACUUUUUACCUUCUCAACUAAACGGCCUUACAAAUAAUAAAAGGGGUUAAUUUAGGAAGAAAAAUAAGCUCUAACAUAUUCUCUUUCUAGUACUCUUCCUUGAACUUUUUUUUUCAAUCUCCCAAAAUCUUCCUCUCCCUUAAACUUUCCAUCAUUGUGAUUGAUCCACAAAAAAAUCCAUGUGAACUGCAAAAAGAUGUUGUGGCAGAGUUUAGAAUCAAGGAGAGCUUAUAAACAGAUUUUAAUUCAUGGAUCAGCAGCCUAAUUUUGGACUCUUGACCGGAGACUCUGUAAUUUUAUUUUUAUCUCUUUUGGUGUGCCUUGAGGCCCCUUUUUACUUACUUCUGCACUUUUUUGUCUCUUUUUUAAAACUUCAUUAUUUCAAUAAAAUCCCUGUAGGCGCUGAGACACCUCUAGUUUCCUAAAAAAAACCCAAAUAAAUCUUGCCUAUUUUUCAAACCUAGCUUCUAAUUACGUCAACUCAAUUUUAUACUUUCAAAGUUAUCUCAUAGACAACUGAAAAGAAUUAACGAUAGCAAAAUACUUCAAAUCAUUACAUGUAUACUUUAUUUAUUGACAAUAGCUAGUUCAUCAGUUGUUCAUCAAUUGUUCAUCCAAUGUGCAUCUGGUUAGUCUCACUGAGUUGAUAUGGUGUUUGGUUGCUUUGCGUGAGAACAUAUGUUGCAAGAUACUCCUAUAAAUUAGGCAAUAAACAUAAUCACGAUAUUUUUUAUACAUGCAACUAUCUUUUAUUGCUCUUCAUUUAUUAUAUUAUUAUCCCUUAAUAUUUUUUAAAAGAAAUACACUAAUACCAAUUAAUACAUGCUAGUCGUGCACUGGUAAUGUCAUUAUCUAGAUAACUGGUGUCAAACGACAGCCUGGAGAAGAACAAGAAAUCUAUGGUUUUUUGACAUACUUUUUAUGUCAAAAUAUAUAGAAUAAAUGUCACAACUUAAGGUUUUUGACAUUCAGUUGACAAAAAUUCAAACGUCAAAAAACUCGCGUCACAAAGUGAUCAUGUGACGUUUAUACAUUCAGUGUCACAAGCUUAUGACAUUGGGUUUUAGUGUCAUACAGAUUUAUGACUUUGGUUUAUCGUCAUAAAAUCUUAAGCCUUGCCACAUGGGCAAAUGCCAUGUAGGAUCAAAAGCUGACAUGGCAGGAAAAAAAACGUCACAAAAUAAGUCUUGGUCUGCUAAAACCCACAUACCAGACAGCCCUCCAUAGGUCACAAGAUUUUUUGGGCCCAUAUUUCCUGGGCCAUUGUUUUAGUUCAUUUAUUAUUGGCCCACACAAUUUCAGCCUGUACAAAUUUUUUCACAGCACACAAUUGAACCCAUAUAUUUUUUCAGCCCAAAAUAUUUUCAGCCCAUACAAAUAUCUCCACAUGAUUGCAAUAUCACAAGCACUUCACAUGUCUUAAAAUACAACACAUUACAUCCAUCCACCAAUUCAACACACAGUCUCAAUAUCUCAAAUUAUAACUUGCUAUAGUAGCACCAGCGGUAGCAGCAGCGGUAGCACCAAUAGUGCAAUUGCCACCAAAAUAGCAUCUUUAUCCUUCUAGACACAUAUGUUGCCAAAAUGAGCCUAAUGCAGUUAGACAGCUUACUACUGAGGAUCAGGUGAUGCAAACUUGUUGCCAAACAAGGUCCGAAGGAAACCUUGGAUUUCAAGGCCUUGCUGUUUCAGCUUCUCAGUUUCUUCUUCGUUCUUCUUGCUGCUUCUUCAUUCUUCCUUGCUGCCUCUUUCUGAUCCUCUAAUUGCUUCUGCACAUCAGCCAGCUGUGAUCUUAGUCCAUCUGAUCCCUUCUUCUCAGCUUGCAAUUCACUCUCAAGCUCAUUCACACGAUCAUUCAUUGCAGCAGCUUUGGCAUUUCUCUUCAUCGCUGCGGACUGCAUGCCAACAUUGUGAAGGAAAGUUGAUUUUGGCAUAACAUGAGCUAUAGCUUGAACAGGAGUCUUUGGAUCUUGCCCUUCUUCCGUUGGUUCAGCAACGUAGGCCUCCAUUUGAGCCUAGCAACAAUAGCACCAAAAAAGUUAGAUUUCAGCACUAGUUAUGUAUUUCUAGAACUCAUGUCUAUAGGUAAAGCAACAUAGUGGAAGAAAUGGAAUGGUAUCUAUCGAGUGGAACCUUCUAUGCUAUAUAUGAAAUGAUCUUCCAUGUUGUUGUAAAGAAUUGUGUACUCAUUUUUCUUUUGAUUUAUUUCUCUAAACAUGCUAAACUGAGUGGCAAUCUAGUGGCUAUCCAAACUUACAAUGUGGCUAUGAUGUUGUUCAUCACAGUAGGAAAUAAGAAAUGGUACUCACAAUGGCAUCCAUUGCUUGCUCAUUAAAACCUGACUUGCUGCUGCAGUGGGUGUCCUUGAAAAUAUCAAUCGCAGUUGGUGGCGCAUCCUUAAAUUUAGUUUGCUUCUGAAAUUACACAAAAAUAGAAAACAAACAGCAGCAACAACACAUUAGCAGCAACAUUAACAUUUAAUUAUUUGUAUCCUAAGAUAGCAUGACACCAGCAGUAUCUUAACAUUUAUUGAAUCACAUAUUUCAUUACAACUGACAUGCUAUAAAUCUAAAACUAUGUUUGAUUUCCAUUAUGCGAGUAGGCCAUGUAGAAGCAUAAAACAAAUGUAGCCGAAUGACCAAUCCAGUUAUUUACAUGAGUAACUAGACAGUAUUUGCCGAAUCCGCAAUCCAAUUAUUCAUAUCAGUAACUAGCCAAAUCACCAUGAAGUGGAUUCAAAAUACCCUAUUUGCAUACUAGAACAUCCUUGAUGAUUUCAGAUCCUUGAGCAAAUAGACCUAAAUAAAUAGCUUUGCAUAUACACUAGACAUUUUUUUUCAUGCAACAAGCACCAUUUUUGGACACAUACAACCUCCUAUAUGAUUUAUCUUACCAUGACAUAGCAUUGAGCAACAUAGCUUCGAGAUCCUGUCAUUUGGUGAUACUGAACUAGCUCACGGCUGCCUUUGUUUUUUAGACAUUUUUCCUGUAGAAAGACAAAUAUUUAUGAACAAACAAUCCAUAUAUUCUAUAAGGCAACAAUUGUGAUAGAUAUUAAGGAAGGGUACCUUGUGCUUUGGGUUAGACCACAUGUCCACGAGUUGUUUCCACUGCAUGUCAGUCAUAGUCGACAAAGGUGAAGUUAUUCUAACUGCAUUUGCUGGUAUGCCAUUAAAGUAUUGCUUUUUCAGCUUGUAUCUCAUCUAUCGUUGUCCUUUUUUGAGCAAAUCAGACAAUGCAUCUUUCACCGGCACAACGUCUUUGUCAAUGGUGAAUUGACUCUGGACAAGAGCAUGCAUAUAUCAUUAAAGGACAAUCAAAUGAUGUUCUGGGAGUAUGCGGCAGCAGCAGCAUCAACAACAAGCAACACAAACAAGUGUCAACUCUAGAUUAUGCAACACUAUAUAAUAGAAUAAUUUGAAUAUAGAGAUAGACAAAGUAUAUGAUCAGCAAGGAAAAAUACACAAAUUUUUCCACCAAAAAAAUUUAUCAUUGUAGUUUCUAACAAAGUAUAUUGUAAUCCAUAAACCACCAAAAAAGUUAUCUUCAACAGCCAGGUUACUUACACUAAGUUUAUCAUUGUAGUUUCUAACAAGAGGUUUGGCGGCAUCCUCCUUAUAAUGCUUCCAGUGAGUGAAGAUUGGAACAUGGUCCCGUAGAAUAAUACCAGCCUCUGAUGCUAGUUUUGCAGCUUGCAAAGGCUCCUCUGGCCGCAAUUUUCCUUCAGAGAUGUUCACUGGGAUCUUGGCUCUUAACCCUCUUGAAAUCAUAUCCAAAUCUCUGCCCAUGUGUCUCUUGGUGAUACAUCGACCUAUCAUGGAGUUUGGAAAACAAUUAGAUAGAAUCAUAGACCCAUUAAUGUACAUAAACAAAUAAUUAAUAGUGGAGAGAGGGUACAAUCACUUGCCUUCAGUAGACAACUCAUUCUGGUUGUUGGACUGAGUAUUAUUAUUGGCAGCCAUCAGUGCAUCUUCUGUGGAACCAUCUUGUGGGUGUACUAUUGGAACUUCAUCGGCUAAGGCCAAUUCCCUUGUCCUCUGCCUGGUAAUCCUUGCUGGAUCGUCUUGCCCUUGAUGUGCCACUGCCAUCACUCUCUUUGAUGUUCUUGUCGAACUCUUGCUAACUUCAGGUUCCAAGUCCAGCAUGGCCUCCUACAUGAUACAACAAAUUACAAGAGAAUGAAUAAUUCUGCAUAUUUGCUCAUGUACUGCAUAUUUAACAUAAAUGUUGGGCUGUCAUCAAGGUACCUUAUCAAAUGCUCCUUGUUCAACGUCUUCACCAUCUUCAGGUUGAUACAAUGAGCCAGAGUCUUCACGGGUAGUAUUAGUGCCCUUUGGUCUUGAAUUUUUUAGAAUAUUUGCUGCCUCUUGUAUUCCAAGACUGCGGAAGAUCCGACUAUUCCGCAUCACUUGUUCCAUCUUCUGCUUCUCAUAGUCAGUUAGUGGAGCCUCUGUACUUGCACGAGAAAAAGAAAUCAUAGUAAAUUAAGCUUCAGGAUCAAGUCUGGUUGAGGGCCGGGUCUUCGGUUUCCGACCAGGAGCCAUCUUCAUGAGUCUAGGAAGCUUGGAGCGGAGUGCUGAGGAUGUCGUUGGGGGCGCAGGGCCUCUUCGGCUGUGGGCAGUGGAGGGCGGCGGAUCCUCUUUCCAGGCAGUAGAGAGGGCAACAAAGUGGCGGCUGCUGCGAGGAGUGAAUUGGAUUGACUAGGGUUUGGGGGAGCAUGAGCUGAAUAGGUCACGGUAUGGGGGUAAUUUUACUGUGCUAUCCUUAUCCAAAGGAGAGUUGUUGUGGUAUAUGUCUGGAUAGAAAUGACAUUUUCACUCCAAAUUUUUUGGUGUGGCGCGGAGACAUAGCGCCACUACGCGGUUGCGCCAGGCCCAGACAUCCAAAAUUUGGUUUAUGCGCUGCUUACUAGUGUCUGCUAACAAAAAUAUUUUUCUAUAAAAUACGAAAUCGGCUUUUAAAAAUAGGAAAAAAAAUAAUCUCAGGCUGGCUAAUCGCAAGUCGCGUAUCUUUUAGCGUAAAAUCGCGUGCUACGCGGUCCGUGGGAUUCGAACCUGAGACCUCGCCCUCGCGCGUACCCUCCUCUACCACUCCACCUACCACUCAGUUGUGUCUAUAUUAGAGUUUAGUUCCCCAUAUACUAUUAUAAACCAAGCAUAAAUUGAUUAUUUGAGGCUCUAAACGAAUAAAAAUAAAAAAAGUUAUCAACUACAAAGUUUCAUAAUUUUUUAGGAUCUGCAACUUUUAUUUUUGUGGGUUUUUCAUACAAGGUUAUUUCAAACCUUGAUGCUUUAGUUGUAUACACGGAGUAACCGAGGAAGUCUUAUAAAUAGAGAGUCAAGCUCGGGUACUAAUACAACAUCGAAGAUCUGGACGCAAAGUUCAACAAUGAGCAGCUUCUGUUAUAUAUACAAUAAAACGUGCUGGCCAAUCAAACAUUGGUACGUAGCUUAGUGGCGUGAUUGCUUCAAAGUAACUUGGAGGCUUCGGCGCGCAUGACCCAUUUUAAAGAAAAAAAAUAAGACAUAACCAAAAUAAAGAAAUAAAUAAUAAAAAAAAUAUGCUACGUGCCAAUUCGAAUGCCACUAUGGACAAGAACAUUUAAAAUAAUUCAAUAAAAUAAGUGAUGACACAUAACAUUUGUCAAAGAUUUAUGACAUUAGAAAAUUAGGACUUGUGACAUAGCAAAUAUUGUCACUAGAUGGAAUUGGACUAGUUGUAUGACGUUUGUUAUGACAUCCAACUUUUUAUUGUCACUAAGUAGAGAUACAUGAAAUAGAAUGUCAUAAAUCGGAUGAUAUAAUGACAUUAUUACCUUUUGUCAUACUAAAAACGUCAAAAAACCACACAUAUCUUGUAGUGGAACCCCAAAAAAAUCUACUCCCUCCAUCCCAAAUUAUAAAAAUAUUAAACAAGGCCUUAACAAAUUCUGGAUCCAAACAACGCUCAGUUCGAACUCAUCUGGCAGGAGGAUGGUGUACUACCAGCUGAUGAUGAGUAGUGGGAUCCUAACGUGGGUAGUGUUGGUGUCCUGGCAACACAUAGCUUGCACGUAGGCGUGCUCAUUCUGGGCCGUCCAUUCCAUGCUUGCACUUGCACGGACCACACGCGACGCGAUCCCUCGUUUAAUUUGUCCGCGAUCGAUCGCGGCUGGUGUCCCUGGCGCUGGCGGCCUGAUGAUGAUCCAACAGCAGUGCCAGUACAGCACACCAACGCCAACGUACGCCGAGGAGGAGGAGGAGGAUAAAGGAGAAGAAGAAGACCAAAAUCCAUCCAUGGAGUCGCACGCACGGGCCUCACGAGAGGAGAGACCAUGACCUGUGGCCCCUCGUAGCAGUGGCAAACCAGGGGGCAGGGGCAGACUAGGCCGUGUGUGGGGAUUGCACGCCGCCGAUUUCGUGUCCUUGCAGCCUCCUUCUCAGUUCUCGCACACUGCCACACACACAGCUGACCUGCCGCUGCCGCUGCCACUGCCAGGAAGGUAGGGAGAGGCCAGGAUGCCCCGCGGCGGCUUCUCGGGGUCCCUCAGGUCGCCCAAGAUCGACGUCGUCAUCGACAUGGGGAACCCCUUCCUCAACCGCGCACCGUCGACGGCUUCCUCAAGAUCGGCGCCGUCGGCGCCUGCAAGGUGGCCGCCGAGGAGACCUUCGACUGCCUCCACAGGGGUGAGUACGUUCGCCUCUUCCUCCGUUCCUCGACCCCUUUAUUCGUUGUAUCCAGUCAUGCUGCAUUCCAUAGAGCCCAGUAACCUUGUUAGAUGCAAAAAAAAGUUUCGAUUUUGCGGAACUCAUGUCAGACAUUGAUACGGUGUUGCCCCCAAAACGUUUGGCCGUUGCGCUCCACUCUACGCAGAUAGAUAGAUUACUAACCAUGAUGUUGGAUUAUGGAUAAUGGACUGGAGUGGAAUCGCUCUGCCUCUGCAAGUGGAUUCAGAGAGCGAAACAAGGGGUGCAGACAUAACCCCAGACUAUAAUUUGUAGUGCAGCCUGAAUAUCACACACUCAGUCUUUAUUGAGUUUUUCUGUGCAGUUCUGUAACCUGCAUUUUACAUUCAGUCAUGAUUGAAUAUUUGAAUGACUCAAAUGGCGACGAAAAUAUCUGUUUUUGUUACUGAAGAUCCACUUCAUAUACACACUUGUACUGAAGAUCUUACUGAAUUUCUUACUGGUCAAAAUGGUACUUACCUCAAUAGAUCUUACUGGCAAAAUGGUACACCUCAAUAGAUCUCACUGAAGAUCGCCUCAACUUUGAAUUUAACCAAUGCUAUUUCAGAAUGAUAGCAGUAUUGUAUUCCUGUUGUUUACUGACAAGGAAAUCAUAUGCUUGCAUUUCUUUUGUGCUACAUUUUACUGGCAAUCAGAGAAGAAAUUGUUAUGACAAAACCUCUUCUGUUUGCAGGGGAUGUUUCAAAGCACAGGAUUGAACAUGCUGUAAGUCAUAUAUCCGCAACCUUUGCAUAUCUGAAUUUUUUAAAAACUGCUCUAGCUCCAGGCCUCAUUUCAAUUGGGGAUCUUAAAUAUCGUGAUCCAAAUGCCUAGCGAUGCCAGUUACGUGAUUCUGUUAUGACCGGCGUCCAGUAUCAAAGGAGGCUAAGCCACCAUCGGCCAGGGGUUUAGGCGCAGGAGUUAGGGGCUAACAGCCCAUAUUUAUCUUUAUUUGUUUAUUUUCAUAAUUGAAGCAAUUAUUCAUAUAUAGGAGUUGUAAUUCUUGUGGACAGAAUUAAGCAAGAGUAAAUCUUAUUACUCGGCUUCCCUUGGGAGCCGGGAGUUUGCUCUAGCCGUCGCCUCCGUUCUCUUCUUCCUCGCGCGACCACGGCGCCCGCCGCCGUGCCGCGCACCCAGCCCCCCAACACACAUACAACCUUCGCUCGACCAAGGGAAGGGUACAGGUCCGUAUCAACCUGGUAUCAGCCAUGUCGAUCCCACCCUCAGCCACCGUUGUUCCGCCUUCAUCCACAACGGCGCCGCCCGUCUCCUCCGCUCUGCCCCAGGCGCCCAUGUCGACAUCGGCCCUGGUGUUGACCUCUUCACAGCCGCUGGCGUAGGGCGCGCCAGGGGCGCCGCGCGCCGUCUUCACGCCCGAGCAAACGACAUCCACGAUCGUCGAACUCAGCCACGACUUGGCUGAGCUGCGGCUGACGAUGACCAUGCUGCAGCUUUACAACAAUUCGACGCCGCAAUUUGGCGCACCGCCGCAGCAGCUGCUCCUGACGCAGUCGUCCCCGUUGGUCGCUUUCCACCACUCGGCGCCGGUCUCCUACCCCUACGGGAUGCCCGCCGACGUCGGGUUUUGGACGACAACAACGCCUACUUCGUCGUCCGUUCUGAUCCACCAGCUCCGUUUUCCGUCAUCGCCGUCCCCAGCGGCCAACUGCUUUGGCUCGCCCCGCCGCUAGGGGAGGACCUCUAGCCGCGGCGCCCACGCCUACUGCGCCGGCACUAACCGGCACCGCUACACCCGCCCACACCUUCCGUCGCUUGACACCGGCGGAGAUGCUCGAGCGCCGUCACCAGGGACUUUGUUACAACUGCGACGAGCAGUAUGUGUGCGGCCACGUCUGCCCACGUGUCUUCUACCUGGAGUCCUCUGACUACAUCGACGACGACGUGUUCACCGCAACAGAGGACACCGCGGACGCCACUGUCGAGAGCUAGCGCCACCAGAUGGCGCUGCUGCUCAUGCUCUGGUUGUCUCCGUGUAUGCUCUUGCAGGGAUCCACACCUACCACACCAUGCUGCUGCCCGUCACCAUCAAUGGGGAAUGCCUACUCGCGCUGCUGGCUCCACCCACACCUUCCUCUAGGACACGGUCAUGCGCCACCUGGGGCUUGUUCCGCGUGGUGGCAACAACCUCCGUGUCACUAUCGCGAACGGGGAGCGUUUUCCGUGCAAGGGGAUCGCCCGAGAUAUGCUCGUCCUCAUCGGCGGUGAGUCCUUCGCCAUCACGUGUGUGGGGCUCGCCCUCGGCUGCUUCGACUUCAUCAUCAGCGUCGACUUCCUAGGGGCUUUGGGACCUCUUCUGUGGGACUUCGAGGACCUCACCGUCUCCUUCUAGCGAGGCGACCAGUGCGUCACAUGGCAGUGCGUGGGUCCCCCGGGUGCUUCUUCACACCAGCCGCGCCUGGCCGCGACCACGGCCGACCAGCAGCGGCCACUAUUGGACUAGCUCCUACAGCAGCACAUGGCCAUCUUCGACAAGCCUCGUGGCCUCUCGCUCGUGCGCUCCUACGACCACCGCUUCCACCUCCUACCGGGGACCGCGCCGGUGGUGGUGCGGCCCUACCGAUACCCGCAGCUCUAGAAGGACAAGCUGGAGCGGCAAUGUGCCGCCAUGUUGGAGCAGGGCAUUAUUCGGCCGAGCACGUCACCAUUCUCCGCCCCUGUGCUGCUCGUCAAGAAGUCCGACGGGUCCUGGCGCUUCUGCAUCGACUACCGCGUGCUCAACGACAGGAUGUCCAAGGACAAGUUGCCGAUCCCGGUGGUCGACGAGCUCCGCGGGGCACGUUUCUUCACCAAGCUGGACCUCCGCUCGGGCUAUCGCUAAGUGCGCAUGCACCCGGCGGCCAUCGAGAAGACCGCUUUCCGCACCCACCACGACCACUUCGAGUUCUUGGUGAUGCCGUUUGGGCUGUCCAACGCUCCGGCAACGUUCCAAGCCCUGAUGAACGACGUCCUCUAGCCUUUUCUUCGCGGGUUCGUGCUGGUAUUCUUCGAUGACAUCUUGAUCUACAACUCAUUGUGGUCCAAGCACCUCCAGCACGUCGUCCUCGUCUUCUCCGCUUUGAGGGCUCACGGCCUCUACCUCAAGAGGUCCAAGUGCUCCUUUGGGACACUCUCCGUCGACUACCUCAGGCACGUCAUCUCUGCUGAUGGCGUCGCUAUGGACAGUGACAAGGUGGCUGUGGUCGCCGCGUUCACCUCGGGGCGUCUUUGGUUUUCUCGGCCUUGCGGGCUACUACUGCAAGUUCAUCCGCGACUUCGGCUCCAUCGUAGCACCACUCAAUCGUCUCCUGCGCAAGGAGGCGUUUGCUUGGACGUCGGAAGCGCGGCGGCCUACGACGCCCUCAAGAGGGCCUUGUCAUCAGCCCCUGUUUUGCAGAUGCUGGAUUUCACUCGUGAGUUCGUCGUCAACUGCGACGCCUCAGGCGCAGGCGUUGGCGCUGUUCUCCACCAGGGGUCGGGUCCCCUAGCAUUCUUCAGCAGACCCUUCGUCACCCGCCACAUCAAGCUCGCGGCCUAUGAGCGCGAUCUCAUCGGGCUAGUGCAGGCGGUCCGGCAUUGGCGGCCGUACCUAUGGGGACGUCGUUUCCUCGUCCGCACCGACCACUACAGCUUGAAGUUUUUGCUCGACCAGCGCCUUUCCACUGUUCCGCAACACCACUGGGUUAGCAAGCUGCUCAGGUUUGACUUCGCGGUGGAAUACCGCCCCGGCCGACUCAACUCGGUGACGGAUGCGCUGUCCCGACGCGACGAGGACGCAGUUACAGAACUUGCCUUGUCCGGGCCAUCCUUCGCCCUCUACGAUGACAUUCGGGCAGCCACUCGGGAGGACCCGGUGGCACGCGGCCUCCUGCAGCAGCAGGCCGCGGGGACGCUGGAGGCGCCCUGGACCAUCGCGGAUUGGUUCCUCCUUCGUGGCAAACGCGUCUACGUUCCCGACCUGCAGGACUUGUGCCAUCAGGUGGUGACCCUGGCACACACUACAGGGCAUGAGGGCGUCCACAAGACCCUCUUGCGUCUGCGCAAUGAUUUCUACAUCCCCAACGACCGCAAGCUUGUGCAAGACUACGUCUGCACGUGUGAUGUGUGCCAGCGCAACAAGACGCCCAUGACACAGCCGGCCGGUUUACUACAGCCCUUGGAUGUGCCUUCCCAAGUUUGGACCGACACCUCCAUGGAUUUCAUCGAUGCCCUUCCCAAGGUCCAUGGCAAGUCGGUCAUCUUGACGGUGGUGGACCGCUUCUCCAAGAAUGCGCACUUCAUCACUCUCAGCCACCCCUACACGGCCGCGUCGGUGGCCCGUGCUUUCUUCGAGGGGAUUGUGCGGCUUCAUGGCUUUCCCACCUCCAUUGUAGUGACCGCAAUCCAGUUUUCACUAGCCACUUGUGGAGGGAUUUGUUUCGCCUUGCAGGUGUGAAACAGCGGCUCAGCACGGCCUUUCACCCUCAGACGGAUGGCCAGUCUGAGGUUGUCAACAAGGUGAUCGCCAUGUACUUGCGUUGUGCGACCGACGACCGGCCGCGCUCAUGGGUCGACUGGCUACCGUGGGCGGAAUACUGCUACAACACGUCGUACCACACGGCACUUCGGGCGACUCCAUUCGAGAUUGUCUACGGUGGCCCACCACCUCCCCUUUUGCCUCACCAAGAGGGGGCGGCUGAGACGGAGGAUGCAGACGUCAUGCUCCGGGACCGCGACGUGUUCCUGGUCGAGGUCCGGGAGCGCCUCCUCCAGGCACAGCAACACGCCAAGGAGCGCUAUGACGAGCACCAUCGGGCUGUGGACAUUGCUGUGGGCGAUUGGGUGCUGCUCCGACUUCUUCACCGCCCCACACACACGCUCGCGACGCCAGCCAAGGGCAAGCUUCGUCCUCGUUAUGUUGGUCCGUUCUGUGUGCUGGAACGCAUUGGGUCGGUGGCCUAUCGUCUACAGCUGCCCGAGACUACACGCCUCCAUAAUGUUUUCCACAUCGGGCUACUCAAGCAGUGGCGUGGUGAACCUCCUGUGACGCCGGCGGUGGUGCCACCAGUCUUCGAGGGGCGCCUGCUUCCUGCCCCGGAGAAGGUUCUGUGCGCGCAACUACGCCGCGAACAGUGGCAGCUGUUGGUCAAAUGGCGCGGCCUUCCGGAUGAUGCUACGACAUGGGAAGCUCUCGACGACUUCAAAGCCCUAUACCCCGAUGUCCAGCUCGAGGACGAGCUGUUUGUCGACGCGGGGAGAGAUGUUAUGACCGGCGUCCAGUAUCAAAGGAGGAGCCGGCCCAUUAGUGGCUAAAGCCACCAUCGGCCAGGGGUUUAGGCGCAGGAGUUAGGGGCUAACAGCCCAUAUUUAUCUUUAUUUGUUUAUUUCCAUAAUUGAAGCAAUUAUUCAUAUAUAGGAGUUGUAAUUCUUGUGGACAGAAUUAAGCAAGAGUAAAUCUUAUUACUCGGCUUCCCUUGGGAGCCGGGAGUUUGCCCUAGCCAUCGCCUCCGUUCUCUUCUUCCUCGCGCGACCACGGCGCCCCGCCACCGUGCCGCGCACCCAGCCCCCCAACACACGUACAACCUUCGCUCGACCAAGGGAAGGGUACAGGUCCCUAUCAGAUUCUUUGCUUGCAGUUCCUAAAUGUGGAUCGUGAUUUACUUGACAUUCCAAAAACACAUGUCAUGACUUAUGAAUACUGCAGAUCUCUAGUUGUAGUCUCAGUCUAGUGUACUGUCAUCUCAGGAAUUCUGUGUUACUGGAAAUGUUGAACUAAACCCCUGCACCUCUUUUGCAUCUUGCAUCAUGCAUGCUUGUGUAUCCCUGAAAAAUCUUUGAGCAACUUCUGGUCUACACAUCAAACUGAUACUAUGUAUGCAGCUGAAGAAAAUGUACAGGGAGGGCGCAUACUGGGGUAACUAAUUGACCAAUUUGUGCCUUUUUGUCGCUUCAAACCCACAUAAUUUGUUUUGGCUUCUUUCCCUUCUUCAUUUAUACUCUGACUAAUGUACAAUAGUAUAAGUGCGUGAUAUUGUUGUAUUAUCGUGUAAGAUGCUAUUAGUCAUAUUAUUGUAAGACAAGCACUUCAAAGUUUUUGUGGAGCUACUUCUCAUAUGCAAUGAGGUGGUUGUAUAGGGCAACAGAGAAAGUUACAUAGAAAAUGACAAACCCUUUCACGACACAUAGUCAUUUCAUAUUUAUUUUACUUUGAGCCAAUUGUGAAUUCGUGAAUCUCGAGAUAUGCCGGCUCAGUACUUCAGAUGUGUUCAUAGGGUAGGGUUUGUGUAAAUAUGAUACGUAUUGUGAGCGUCUGUGUUGUAAUAUAUAAUUUUAGAAAAAAAAGGGACCAAGCUAGUGCAAAUGAUUUCUACCUCCAUGGAUCUUAUUUCUGGGUUCCCCCUGUUUUUACUGUAAUUUUUAAAUGUUGCUCUCCUCUUUCUAAUCCAGUAUAAGUACUACCUAGCUACUUUGUGUUUACAUGUUGCUCUCCUUCAAACUGGCAUCAGAUAAUUUGUGUUUACUCGUUGGGGGAGACAGGAGACACUAGCUCCUGCAUUUGUGUAGCCCGGCACACGUAGCUUCUCAGAGAUGCAUACGUGGCUCUGGACACAUCCAAAGUGAUUGCGCUACUCUUGAAUGCAUAUUCAGGCUUGACACCAACACAGUGAUCCAUCACUUACUAUGGGCCGUAGCCAGGGACCAAGUAGACCUGUUAAACAUGUUUACAUAGCAAUGAUAGUGUUUUUGAAUUUUUCUAGUUUUUUUAAAAUCUAUUUUUCUAGAGCUAAAUUUAUUUUUUGAAGCGGAGAUCUAAGUAUUUUAUGUAGAUUCUCUAUAAUCUUUUUUUUAAGAAUUUUAAAUGCUUAGAGACAUUGGUACCAAUUUUUUAACUAAAAAGGAUAAACCCAAUUUAUCCUCUCUGACGCCAUGUUAACAAUUGCUGUUCAAAACCAUCCAGAGUCGAAACAAACAAUUUUAAAAGUUAAGGAGACCUAAAAAUCUGAUCUUAAAUCUUUCUCUAAUAUAUAAUUAUAAAAAUUUCAGUCCACCAGGUAUCUUUCUUUCCGCCAAUAUUCUAUUUCCCGUGGGUGGCUGCCCAGGACUCGUCCGACAAGGAGGCAGGGCAGGAGUGCCCUGGCCGUGGUCCGACGUGCCAUGGCGAGGCGGGGCUCUCGCAACGCAGCAUCGCACAGAAGAGGAGAACGGGCGGCUGCGCUCGGGUGCCCUUCUGCUCACGGUCGACGAGUGCGAGCCAGAGCACGCCGUGGUGGUGGCGGCUCUAUUGUGGCGCGAUUGAGGAGGCUAGCUCGUCCGUGAUGCCAGCAGACGGAGGCAGAGAGGUCGCAGUUGCCGUGGAUUGCGACGCGGUGAGGCCCUAGUGAUGGGCGGACGCACUCCUGAAGUAGGGUCGCGGUGGUGGAGUUGCCGGUGUUGUGGCACGAUCAGGUGCUCGGCGGAUCAGAAGGGGAGGAGAGGAGUGGCAGAGGUGCUCAGCGAAGCUCGUCGCGACCAUAGCAGGGAGAGGAAAGGAGAAGGCGUGGUGGCGGCGGCGCUGAGGAGCUCCAAAAGAUGGGGGCGACGGCGGCCAUGGCUUAAAUAGUGCGCAGCACCUAGGGUUUGAGGAGCUCCGUUCAUCCUCGUCGUCAUGCCGUAGCGGGGCACGUGGCGCACAUCGAAGGGCAAGCAGGCAGGGUGUGCGCGGCUCGGCCUCCGAGCAGCGGCGGUGGCGCUGGCUCCUAGGAGCAGAGCACAUUAAGGUUAAGGGAUGGGCGCCGGCGGCUUGGGCCGCGCAUGGAUUCUGGGUCGCUGAGCUGGGCCGAGGGUGGACGCGGGGUGAAGUGGGCCAGCCUCGCAGCUGGGCUGCGCGGGGCACUGCACGACUAGGCCAGGAGGAGAAGUGGGCCACACGCGCGUAGGCUUGGGCCGUGGGAAGGAGGAGGUUAGCCGGGCCUGGCGGGGAAGAGGGAGGUGGGCGGGCGAAUGGGGGGAGGGCAGGCCGGGCAGGAAAAACGGAAUAUGCAUGAUAUGUCUAGUUUUGAAUAAAUCUUGAACACAAAAUAUGUUGUAUCUCCCGUUGCAACAUAUGGGCAUUUUUGUUAGUUUUUAUAAAGCAAAAACCCACUAACCUAUUUUUCUUAUUUCAUCAGCUAGCAUAGUCUCUACCGUCCAUACCAAACAGGCAAUAUUAAUAUACUACUCCAUCCUACGUCUACAGUAGAGUUUGAGUGCUUCUUCUAUGAACUGCCCGAUCCGUUCCAAGAUGACAGAAGCCAAUGAUCAAGGCGGAUCCUUCUCUGCAAAAUUCCACAGCAGCCGGCAGCCAGGCAUACAUCGCAAACUUCUGUCAUCCUCAGUUUCAAAGCUUCCUCUCAAUUCUUGCUGAGCCCCAUCCUAUACAUUUUUGUUAAUUUUUAAGUAGAACGAUUUGUUUUUAAUUUUUUACUUGCUAUUUAUCCAGUGUUUCUUUUAGUUUCUGCUGACAUGAACCUCUGACAUACAUCAUAUACGUUGUAUAGUAACUAAAUAGUAUUUUUCUCUGACGCUCUUUAUCAUGUUUGAUGAGAAACAUCAUCUCGAUUUCUACUUGCUCUCAACUGUUGGUGUCCCACAUCCCUAUAUGAGUUUUUUUUUGUAGAAUGUAUGGGUCGAUUCCGUUGCAGUUGCGUGAUGUACGUACACAUGCUAUUGUGCAAAUUAUAAAUAAUGUCUUUCGCACUUCCUACCCUAAUGCAUUUGUCGUUCACAAAAUACAAUUUCUUAAACUCCUGUAGCAACACGUGAGGUAUUCACCUAGUUUUAUAAAAAGGGGAUCGGACAAUCCUUUGUCAAAAUUAAAAUAUACAUGCAAACCACAUAUGCCACUUCAUAAAACAGCUACGAUAUCAAAGACAGCAAAUAUAUCAAACUCUGUACUCAUGUGCGUUUGAUAUUUCAGUUCCCUUACUCACAAACAAGAAAAAAAAUGGAUUGGUCUGAACCGAAAGAAAAUAUAAAAGCACUAGCUAGCCACGCCAUUUGAGCGGGCCACCUUGCUAGUUACUCCCUCCAUCGUCGUUUGACUUUUUUUUACCUCAAGUUUGACCACUCGUCUUAUUCAAAAAAUUUAUACAAAUAUAGUCAAAUUUAAGUCAUUCUUGAAGAACUUCUAUUAAUAAACCAAUACACAACAAAAAAAAAGUGAUAUUUUGUACAAAACUUUGAAUAAAACGAGUGGUCAAACUUGAUAUUAAAAAAGUCAAACGACUUACAAUUUACAAUUUAGAAUGGAUUGAGUAUAUAUGAACGUAAGUUGAUGGACAUGACAAUAUAUUAUAACUAAAAAUUACAAUGCAUCGGUACCAACGGUUGCAUUUGCCGUAUUCACGACGAAAUCGAUUACCACAAGAGGAAUGUGACUGACAAGGUGCCAGUCGGGCCCUGCCCCUCGCUUGUAACGCUCCGCCAAACCAGGGCAACCAUAAAUGCGCAAUUCCUCAAGAGCAGUUAGGCGUUGUAUGGAUUGGGGCAAGUAUUGAAGGGCAGGGGAAUGCUUGAUAUAAAGCGAACGAAGCGCAGAGAGUUGUCCAAUCCACUCUGGCAGCACCGUCAGUGAUGACAGUUCGAGAUGUUCAAGCGAGGUGAGGUGCUGAAUCGCCUCUGGGAACUGCUUCAAAUCGCCCAAUCCCAAUCCAAGGUGUCGCAGAGAGUGCAGUUCUCCAAGCCAGUCAGACAACGUGCCAACGGCGGGGCAUUCGUAGAUGCGGAGACGCUCGAGAGAGGUGAGCUUCCGCAUGCUCUCUGGUAACUGUGUCAGGUCAUUGCACCUGUAAAUACACAACUCUUUCAGCUCAGUGAGGUGCUGCAGCAGUUCCCAGCCAGAUGGUGAUCCUGUAACGUUGCUUAGCCCUAGACUCUUGAGGCGAGGGACCAACGCAUGCAUGCUGGGCAGCUGAUGGGAGAACCUUCCUGUGGAUAGCAGCUGCCCAUUGAUUCUGUUUAAAGACAUAUGCACCAACGAUGGUGGAAAGUAGGGGCUCACAUUUAAUUUCGGGCAGCCAUAUAUUUCUAGACUGGACAGGACAGGGAAAAGAUGUUGUGCUGCCAAUUCUUUCUCCCCAGUUUCAAAACCACUUGAUGUAGUCCACAGCUCCUCUAAAUUAGGCAUUUCCGCCAGAACAAGGUACUUCAGUGAAGGCAACUCAACAAAUCCUCUCAUAUGCCUCAAGUUUGGAAAUCUUUUUACCGUUAACCAAGUUAAACAAAGGAAAUGGGAUGCGAUAGUUUGCUUCAGCAUUAUACCACCUUCAAAAUAUGAAGAAUCAUUUUGCUUCAUCAUCCAUCCUGGCAGGCAGGGGCCUCUGUAAUUAUAGAUAUCCAAGCUCUCAAUUUGCGAUGGUGGUUCAAGAGCGUUCAGCACACCCCAAUCAUGUUCCAUAUCUGACACCAACUCUUCUUCAGAAUCACUUAGAGACCAGUUCAGCUCCAAGUUUUGUAUGUGACUCUUCCGCUUCAAGCAAGCCUUCUCUGCAUCACUUGGAUCCUUCAAAUACUUAAGGUUGGUAAUUUCCAAGCGACCACCUAUCAUAUCAAGGUUUUCUAGCUCUGAGAUCCUCGCAUCAUCUGCACCACACCCAACAACAAACAAUCCCAGCUCUCUUAAACGGGUCAGCUGUCCCAACCCUGUUGGUAAGCAGCAGAGUUUACUACAAUGCUUUAUGUUCAAAACUGCGAGCCUUUUCAAGUUUGCUAUGCCCUUAGGCAACUCCCGUAGCUCAUUGCAUCCCUCAAGGUUAAUACAUUCCAGAGUAUCGAUCGAUGUAACCCAUUGAGGUAGCAUGGUAACUUUGGUUUCAGAAAGGUUCAGAGUACGCAAUGUAGGACAGGAUAAUGUGCUUGGCAGGUCUUGCAAAUCCGUACAACCAUGAAAGUUAAUAGUUCGCAAGUUUUUGAACUCCCCAAUGAUGUCUGAUGGUAGUUGUUGCAGAGAUGAACAGUACUCUAUAUCAAGUACACAUAGGUUUCCAAUUCUACCUAAAGAGCUUGGUAUCUCUCGGAGCUUGCUGCAGGCAUAUAGUUGCAAGGACUGAAGAACAUAACAGUCACCAAUGGACUGAGGCAAACUCUCAAGAUCAGUAACCCAACGCAACUCUAGAGUCCUUAGCUUCCGAAGCGUUCCAACAGACUCAGGUAAUGUCACGAAACCUUUGCAGUCAACAAAAUUGAGUGACUGCAAGUUCCAAAACCUCGAGAUAGCUUCCGGAACUGUUGUACAACUAACAUUAUGGAUUUCAAGAUACCCAAGAUACUCAAACUUUAAUAUGAAUAGUGACAACGGAGUAUCAGUUGCAUAGUCCAAAACAACACUGCGCAUACAGCAACUACUCUUCACUGUGGUAUCAAAAGAUGUCUUACUGUCAGAGAUAUAUAGAGCACGGACCUUGUCAAAUACGCCCUUGUCAACAUUCUCAGUGAAUGAAGUCAAAGAUAAAUAUCUAUACCUAUGAGUAAAUUCUUCUGUUGUAUGAAUUGGUACACAAGUCACCAGCUCAUCCUUUAGUAUCUGCCGAGUGAGAUCAUGGAUCAAAUCGUGCAUGGUGUAUAUAUCAGUAUUCCAGCUCCCAUAAACUUCCUGAAGAAAUCUGACUUUUACAAGAGAAUCUAAGUAGUCUCUUCCGACAUCUUCGGGUUGCUCUCCAUUCAUUGCAUUGAUGAAUCCAUGAGCUAUCCAUUGGGCAAUCAAACGAUCUUUCCAGAUUCCAUAGCCCUUCGGGAAUAUGGAGCAAAACGUAAAACACUGCUUCAGUUCAUCUGCCAAAUGAAUAUAGCUCAACUUCAAGGAUGCAAACACUCUGUCUUUUAUACUCUGAACCUUCCAUAAAUUAUUCUCUCUUAUGGCCCUCCACGUACUUAUUUGCUUCUUGUCACGAAGGACUGCUCCAAGAGUUUGAAUUGCUAACGGCACCCCACCACAUCCCUUGAUAAUCUCUUUUCCGACUUGUACCUCAUCGGAGCUCAAUUCUUGCUCUGCCAACCCAGAACCCUUCAGGAAUAAGUUCCAACUCUCAGACUCUGAUAAGAAUGCCAACUCAAAUGUAUAUCUUGAUUCCACAGCUUGUGCAACCUUUCGAUCACGAGUGGUUAAAACAAUCCUUGUUUCAGGUGCGCCACAUUUUAGCUGCACCAUGAACUGUUCCCAGUCAUGUCUGUCCUCAUGCCAAGCAUCAUCAAGGAUAAGAAGAAACUUCUUAUUGCUCAACUUCUCGGAGAUUUUUUGGACCAUGUGCUGUGGGGGAUGACGAUCUGAAUUAUCUCCAACAAUCGUUUCAAAUAGCUUGCCGAUGAGCUUCUGAACAUCAAACUCUUGAGACACAUGGACCCAGAAUAUUUCACCUCCAAAGUGCUCCUUUAUCUUGACGUCAUGACAAAUGUGUUUCGCCAAAGUAGUUUUGCCUGACCCCCCUAAUCCGAUG